CUUCUCUACUCCAUGAUUGGAUAUGAAUGGACAGGAGAGAAAUUCUUCUACUUCUACUACUUCAUCUUCAUGUGCUUCACCUACUUCUCUAUGUAUGGAAUGAUGGUUGUUGCAUUGACACCUGGCUACCAAAUUGCUGCCAUUGUUAUGUCCUUCUUCCUCAGCUUCUGGAACUUGUUCUCUGGCUUCCUCCUCCCUCGUCCGGUGAGUACUGAAAUUCUUAUUAAUCCAUAAUAGAAACAACACAUCAAAAAAUCCUAAUGCUAAUGAAUGCAUGUUUCUUGCAGCUUAUCCCAAUCUGGUGGAGGUGGUACUACUGGGCUUCACCUGUUGCCUGGACAAUCUAUGGCAUUUUCACGUCCCAAAUGGGCGACGUAACGAACCCACUUCAAAUACCCGGUGACCCUAGACCAGAAACAGUGAAAGGAUUUCUGAAAACAUACUUGGGAUAUGAUUAUGACUUCCUCCCUGCAGUUGUGGCUGCUCAUGUUGGUUGGGUGCUCC
rnacentral:lncRNA from 1 species